GGUAUUAUGUGAUAAUAAUGUGGUCAACUCUCACUUUAUCCUAAGAACCUGGCUUAUUUUGUGGGAUUAACCCACACUAAUAAACCCACCCCCCCCAUCCGAUAAAUUUUAUACUGAUCUGUUUGAAUAAAAAAAUGUUACCCUUUCACGCCAAUCGAUGCAAGCAUAUGGUCGCCCAGCCCUAGUUCAUGCGCCUCCAUCAUUCACCAUUUUUCGAAUAUCUUUUCUCUCUUCCCAGCGGCAGUCCAGAAAAUUUUUACCAGAAGCGAGGGGUUGUCUAAUCUGGUAUUUGAGGAGACGGCGAUAAGGAAUUUCCCUGAUUCAGCGUUUCAGGCGCCGGCGAUAUAGUCAUCUUCCAUCUCACGUCUGAAGAUUUGAAGUUGCGGUAUCACAUCAACGAUUGGAGCACCAAGCUAUUCCUCCACAAAAGCAACAAAGGGGAAUUGCCACGAAGCACAAAUUCAGAGGACAACUCCUAUACAGAGGCAAUUGCAUUACCUGUUACAGCUGCUAUUACGACCGUUGUAUUGAAAAAUGCCUGGAAGGGAAGAUAGUCGAAUGCGUGAUAUUUCAUUCGUUGUUUUGCAAGAAAUUUUGCGCGUACAUGCGAUACAAGUUGCAUUGUUGUUUGUCUAUUAUUAUAAGACUAGACUAGGCAAAAGAAAGCGACGUACCGAACCCCUAAAAUAUGAGAUAAUAAGUAAGUUGUCCGACCAACAAAAACAUUUAAGCCGUCUAGUUGGUCUUAAUGAUGACGACUGUAUUUCCAACCUUCGAAUGGACCGUAGAACUUUUGCUAGGCUUUGUGUUAUAUUGCGAGAACGGGGGGGUUUAGUUAACGGCCGGUUCGUGACUGUUGAGGAACAAGUAGCAAUGUUUCUUUCGAUUUUAGCCCACCAUAAAAAGAAUAUAGUGGUCCGAUUUGACUUUUGGCGAUCCGGUCAAACAAUAUCGCACUAUUUACAUGUUGUAUUACGUGCUAUUAUACGUCUUCACGACUUGUUCCUGACCAAGCCUGAGGCUGUUCCGGCGGAUUGCAAUGAUCCACGGUGGCGGUGGUUCAAGGGUUGUUUAGGGGCCUUAGACGGCACGUAUGUGAGUGUCAUGGUUGGUAAUGAGGACAAACCACGAUAUAGAACGAGGAAAGGGUAAAUAUCUACCAAUGUUCUAGGUGUAUGUGAUCGCAAUCUGAACUUCAGUUACAUCUUAACGGGUUGGGAAGGUUCGGCUGCGGACUCUAGAAUCCUACGGGAUGCCAUAAGUAGACCUCACGGCCUUAAAGUCCC